UUUCACACGUCCCCGUUCUGGCGAGAGCAGCACCUGAUCUCCCCUUUGUCCCUCUCUGGAUGAAAGUGUGAGCUCCGUCAUGUCCCCCAGGCACCAAAACAGUUUGCUUUCCUGCUAGAGGUGAAACUGAUUCCGGGAGAAGGCACAGCUGGGGCUUUUAUCUCCCCUUCAACAAACCAAGCCACCUGUGCGGAGUCUUAAAAACGAAGCAAAGCACAACCCUCUCGAUCUGUGAAUAAAUUUGCAGACUCAGAGUAUGCCAUCUGGACCAGACACAAGGGCUGCUGGAAUCUGUGCGUCUUUCUUCUGAUUCUGGUAAAGGAUUUAGAUGGAUUUAUGACAUUGGCUGAAACAAAUCAGCGGAUGAGUGAUUACAGGAUUUGAGUGUGGUUAAGCCAAGAUUAAUGCCACUAAUUCCUGAGAAUGAAGGAGCUGACUGUCACCCACAGAAGUGAACUUGCACGU